rnacentral:tRNA from 1 species
GCCGGCGUCGCAUAAUCCGGUAUUGCGCAAGACUGGAAAUCUUGUUUCCUUCGGGAUGUCCCGGUUCAAAUCCGGGCGCCGGCG